rnacentral:rRNA from 1 species
GACGAACGCUGGCGGCGUGCUUAACACAUGCAAGUCGAACGGAAAGGCCCUGCUUUUGUGGGGUGCUCGAGUGGCGAACGGGUGAGUAACACGUGAGUAACCUGCCCUUGACUUUGGGAUAACUUCAGGAAACUGGGGCUAAUACCGGAUAGGAGCUCCUGCUGCAUGGUGGGGGUUGGAAAGUUUCGGCGGUUGGGGAUGGACUCGCGGGUUAUCAGCUUGUUGGUGGGGUAGUGGCUUACCAAGGCUUUGACGGGUAGCCGGCCUGAGCGGGUGACCGGCCACAUUGGGACUGAGAUACGGCCCGGACUCCUACGGGAGGCAGCAGUGGGGAAUAUUGCACAAUGGGCGGAAGCCUUAUGCAGCAACGCCGCGUGCGGUAUGACGGCCUUCGGGUUGUAAACCUUUUUCGCCUAUGACGAAGCGUGAGUGACGGUAAUGGGUAAAGAAGCACCGGCUAACUACGUG